UACGUAGGGCGCAAGCGUUGUCCGGAAUUAUUGGGCGUAAAGAGCUCGUAGGCGGCCAGUUGCGUCUGCUGUGAAAUCCCGGGGCUCAACCCCGGGCGUGCAGUGGAUACGGGCUGGCUAGAGGCAGGCAGGGGAGAACGGAAUUCCCGGUGUAGCGGUGAAAUGCGCAGAUAUCGGGAGGAACACCGGUGGCUAAGGCGGUUCUCUGGGCCUGUACUGACGCUGAGGAGCGAAAGCGUGGGGAGCGAACAGG
rnacentral:rRNA from 1 species